UACGGGGGGGGCAAGCGUUGUUCGGAAUUACUGGGCGUAAAGGGCCAGUAGGCGGCCAACUAAGUCCGACGUGAAAUCCCAAGGCUUAACCUUGGAACUGCGUCGGAUACUGGAUGGCUUGAAUUCGGGAGAGGGAUGCAGAAUUCCAGGUGUAGCGGUGAAAUGCGUAGAUAUCUGGAGGAAUACCGGUGGCGAAGGCGGCAUCCUGGACCGACAUUGACGCUGAACGGCGAGAGCUAGGGGAGCAAACGGG
rnacentral:rRNA from 1 species